rnacentral:rRNA from 1 species
UACAGAGGGUGCAAACGUUGCUCGGAGUUACUGGGCGCAAAGCGCGUGUAGGCGGUUUCGCAAGUCAGGUGUGAAAGCCCAGGGCUCAACCCUGGAAGUGCACUUGAUACUACGAAGCUUGAGUGCUGGAGAGGAGAGCGGAAUUCCCGGUGUAGAGGUGAAAUUCGUAGAUAUCGGGAGGAACACCAGUGGCGAAGGCGGCUCUCUGGACAGACACUGACGCUGAGACGCGAAAGCAUGGGGAGCAAACAGG